AUUCUUUUAUUAUAAAAAGUAUAACAAGCUUCCAACUUGAAGGUUUAAAAAAUUUAAAUUGAAUA
rnacentral:tRNA from 1 species